GUGUAUGGCCACACCACCCUGAACACACCCGAUCUUGUUGGAUCUUGGAAGUUAAGCACGGUCAGCCCUGGUUAGUACUUGGAUGGGAGACCACCUAGGAAUACCAGUUGCUGUAGGCU
rnacentral:rRNA from 1 species